AUGGCCGGCUCCCACCACGGCGGUUCUUCUUUGCGGCGCAACGACGGUGGCCGUAGUGGAGGGCCACUGGUGGCGCGGCAGCUCGAGAUGCACUCAGGUCAACCCUCCCUCUCCCAUCCCCUCCCACCCCCUCCCACCUCCCACCCCACUGCCCCCACCACCCCACCUCUCAACCCCAUCCCUCUCCCCUCCGGCUCCCUCUCCCAUCCGUCUCUCUCUCCCCCUCAACACCACCAAAUUUUGCUUAGGUUAAGGUUUUGCUUAGAUUCUGAGGGGGGCUCGAGUAAGUACCAGAGAGUCUCGAGUGGUAGGGCGACCCACGUCAGCAACUCCGGCACGACCGAGUCAUCCGCCUCCCGUCAGGCCGCUACCGAUGACGAGUCGACAUUGGAUGGCUAUGUCGGAGUGGACUUGGAUGUACUGGAUCUGCUCGCUACCGAGUCAGGCGACAUGGUCGCCUCGGACGUCUCGGGGUCUACCUCGAGGAACACUUCUAAGAGGAAGAAAUCCGGGCAUGAUCCGGGGAAGCCCGAGGGGGCGCGCCCUCCGAACCAUGUCAUCGGCUCCCUCUUGAGGAAGUACUUCCCUCGGUUGGCCAAGAUGGGUGAUGACCACCCGUCGUCGCCAGGCGCAGCAUGUGGAGAAGGGAAACGAUCGCGCCAAAAUGCCAGCCUAGCUCAUGUCCAGGGGAGCUGGAACCUAACAUCUCUCAAGCAAUACAUGGAGGCAAUGCUUGGUCGCCCGGUCCACAUCCUGGAGGCCUGGAAAGAAGGCCACAAGGGCAAGGAUGGCGUCGACUUCUGUAGCUUGUCAGCGCAGGAGAAGUACGAGACCUUCAAAGAGGUCUUCCAGGAGGUGCAUGGGCAUGACGUCGAACCUAUGUCCAAGCCCCUUGAUCCUGAGCUUCUCAUCAUUGCUGGAAAGGGGAAGGGCCAUGGACGCCACCUCCUUUGCAACGGGGCGACCGCCACCUCCUCGCAUCGCAAGCUGCACGAGAUACACGCGUCGAGCACCAGCUCAACUCCGUUCAUACGGAGUCUCCCAACCGCCGCGUCACGUGAGAUAACGCGUCUCAAGCGGGCUGCUGAAGAGGAGCAAAGAUUCUUAUGCAAUCUCGAAGCAGUGGAAAUGAUGCACCUCCUCCUCCUCCGGAAUCUUAACCCGAUGGAAAUGAUGCCCCUCCUCCUCCUCAAGAUGUUGGAUCAAAUAGGAAAGAGCUUAAAAACAAAAGCAAUGGGACACAUUUCCGAGAGUCACGCUCGGAAACAGGGUGACGUCGCGGCUCUCGGUAUAGGUAAACCAAGUGAAGGCGCCGUCAGUUCCGAACGGGCAUGCCACGUGGCUUCCCUUUGCCGUGUGUGGCUCUUGGCGUCUGCCCCGUUUGCCGUGCAGUGCUUGUUCACCAUGCUAUCAGGAUCGGUCAGGAGUCGGGUCUCGGUCAGCCAAGCCGAGAAAGGUACAAGGACGCAGCGCUGGGCAUCCGGCGCCCCCAGUCUGAGUUUUCACCAUGCAUGCAUCCUAUGCAUAUGGAGUGCAUGCAUGCAAAAGCAAAAGCCACGUUAUUUACCGCGCGACAAGCACCCGCCGCGGCCAUGCCGCCUUGCGUACGGGGCUCGCACACCUCGCUCCCCCGCCCCUGAGAAAGUCAGCGUCCGUCCAUCCAUCCACCCGUCCAUCGGCUUCCCGUUCCCGUGUGCACCCCUCCUUCCGCCCGUCCACAAAAAUAAUCCGGCCAUCGCUCUCGCCCUCCUGUACCCCCUGAUCUCGUCUGCCUUGCCCUCACAUACUUCUUUAUUGUCCUCUUUGGAAGCCAACUCAAGUUACCCAUCCAUCAAUCUCCAUUUCGAUCUGCUGCUAGCUCGCUUGCUUGGUGUAAAGAAAAGAUAG
rnacentral:rRNA from 1 species